GUGGGGAAUAUUGGACAAUGGGCGAAAGCCUGAUCCAGCAAUGCCGCGUGAGUGAAGAAGGCCUUCGGGUUGUAAAGCUCUUUUACCCGGGAAGAUAAUGACUGUACCGGGAGAAUAAGCCCCGGCUAACUCCGUGCCAGCAGCCGCGGUAAUACGGAGGGGGCUAGCGUUGUUCGGAAUUACUGGGCGUAAAGCGCACGUAGGCGGUCUUUUAAGUCAGAGGUGAAAGCCCGGGGCUCAACUCCGGAAUUGCCUUUGAAACUGGGAGACUUGAACACGGGAGAGGUGAGUGGAAUUCCGAGUGUAGAGGUGAAAUUCGUAGAUAUUCGGAGGAACACCAGUGGCGAAGGCGGCUCACUGGACCGUUGUUGACGCUGAGGUGCGAAAGCGUGGGGAGCAAACAGGAUUAGAAACCCGUGUAGUCC
rnacentral:rRNA from 1 species